CGAAACUUUGGAACAACAGCUGGCAUUUGAGAAAGAGGAGUACAAGAGCCUCCUCUGCAGAGUUCUGCAGCACGCUGGGGAGAAAAGGGAGCUCCUCACGGAGAUUAAAACUCUCCAAGAACAGCUGGAGAGGUGAGAAAUAUUUAGAAGGGAAUCCUUCCUUCCUUGCUUCCAUGAAUCGAUGCGUUGGAGGAAGAGGUAGAACGAGAAAGAAAGGAAUAUAAAAGCUUCCUCUGUAGAGUUCUGCAGCAAGCUGGGGAGAAACAGGAGCUCCUCACGGAAAACAAAAGACUGAAGGAACAACUGGACAGCUGAGAAAUAUUUAGUAUCACCUAUCAUCUAUCAUGAGAGGGCUAAUUUCUGCUUUUCAUCAUUUACAGGAAUUCAAAAAUGUUUGAAGAAAUGGUAAAAGAAAGAGUCCAACUUAAAGAAGAAAUAAAAGACCUUAAAAUGAAGAACUGGAAGUUGAGCGAGGAGAAGGCGACCAUCCUGCGGAAUUUCAGGGAGAGGCUGAGGAGAGGCAGAGACCGACCACCAUGCUGAAGGGGCUGAAACAUCAGGAGGAGGACUUGGAAAAUCUGCUGAGGAUCCCAAGAUGGCCAGAAACAUCUGCCAGGAGCUUCAAGUACAGGGAGCCUCCUCCUCCCCUCCCCCUCUUCCUCCCCCUCCCCCUCCUUUCCCUCCUCGCCCCUUCCUCCUCACCAAGGAGAAAUGAUUCUCUGUCUCAGCCACAUCCAGCCAUCCCUGAAAAGUGCAGGACAACAGAAGAACGUGGUCUCCUCGCUCAACUUCCAUAGUCCUGGAACUGACCAGACUUGAAUGACCAGAGUGUCCAACAGUGGCUCAUGUCUGCAUUCUUGUCUUAUCACUUCACAAGUGUGCAGCAGGAGGCCCCAAACACUGGGAGCUCCAGAACAAAUCUUCUGGAAUCUUCUUCUGAAAUCAGGAAUUCAAAAAUGUUUGAGGAGAUGGUUGAGGAACGAGUGGAGCUAAAAGAUGAAAUAAAAGAACUCAGAUUGAAGAACCAGAAUUUGAGCGAGGAGAAGGCAACAAUCCUGCAGAAUUUCAGGGAGAGGCUGAGAAGCCAGAGACUCCAUCACUCACCAACCGCCAUGUUGAAGGGGCUGGAACAUCCCAUGGGGAAGGAGAGGACCAGGAGGAGGACUUGAAGAACUAGGAAAAGCUCCCGAGGAAUCCCAAAAUGGAUUGAAACAUCUAUUGUACUACAAACACCCCUACAUUUCUAAAAUAAAGUUC